UAACAAUAAACACAAUUUUGGGUUAAUCUGAGAACACUUAAAGGUGAUAAUAACAUGUUUUAAACUGAGAAAAAAAGAGAAGGUAAUUCUUAUUUCAAUGGUGUUUCCAAUAUAUCUUGAUUAGUGUUGAUCUUUCUAAUCUGCUUGGCAAUCAGAUUAAUCAAUGUUGAAGUUGAAAGGGAAAGGUAUCAAAAUCAUUGACAAUUUAUCACUAUUAAAGAUUGAAACAUCAAUUAAUCCUGUACAUUGGCAAGUAAUUUUGCCUCAUUUUGGUUGUAAAGUUAAUCUUGUUUGACCGUAAAAAAGGAUACUAACAAAAGACGAAAAGUAUAACAAAUAAUUUAUUCUUUCUUUAUACAGACAACUUUGUAUUGUUUCAAUUUCAAGAUUUAAUUUUCUGUUAAAAGCAAUUCUAAUUAUAAUUACGACCAAUAGGAAAAUUGGAAAAAACCAUUUUCCCAUUUUCAAUAUUCUGAUGGCUAAAGAGAUAAGAAACUGGCGCCUUAAUGUUUCAUGAGCAAGGGUUCAACUUAAAAUGUGUUAACUUGGACGCCAUAUUGACAAUACAUUAUGUAAAACCUCUAGACAAUCCAGACUUUAUUUUCAACCCAAAUCCAGACAUUUAACGAUCUUUAAACUAGAUAAUGUUGAUUUGGAUUUACGAUUAUAUAAUUUUGGAGAUUAAAUUUCACUUUCACUUAUAUCUGCGUGUUUUAAAUGCUUAGUUUUGCUUCAAUUUUCAAUCUUCAGUUUUGCCUUUUGUGCUUUCAAUUUCUUCCACUCAAUUCUCCUCAACGUCUUUGACAUGCAAAGUUAAACAGAUUUUAAUCCAUUAAUCGCAUCUAUUUUUGCUUGUCUAAUACUGAUUGAUUAAAGCCUUGGUUCAACAAAUUGCCAUUAGAAAAGAAGGUUGAAAAUCUGUGAUUGUGUUACCUUAAUGGAAGGGGAAACAUUCCUUUUUUAUAGUGACAAACAAAGAUAAUAAAAUAUAAUCUACAACAAUUGGAUUACAAUUA